GCACCACAAGGCGUGAAGCGUGCGGUUUAAUUGGAGACAACACCGGAAACCUUACCGGGGGCGACAGCAGGUUGAAGGCCAGAUUGACGAUCUUGCCAGACAAGCUGAGAGGAGGUGCAUGGCCGUCGCCAGUUCGUGCCGUGAGGUGUCCUGUUAAGUCAGGCAACGAUCGAGACCCACGUUCCCUGUUGCUACCAAAGAAAGUUUCCAAGGGGCACACUGGGAGGACAGCCGCCGAUAAGGCGGAGGAAGGAGUGGGCCACGGCAGGUCAGUAUGCCCCGAAUCCCCCGGGCCACACGCGUGCUGCAAUGGCCGGUACAAUGGGUUCCGACCUCGUGAGAGGAGGGUAAUCCCUAAAGCCGAUCGUAGUUUGGAUCGAGGGCUGCAACCCGCCCUCGUGAAACUGGAAUGCCUAGUAAUCGCGUGUCAUUAACGCGCGGUGAAUACGUCCCUGCUCCUUGCACACACCGCCCGUCGUUCCACUCGAGUGGGUUUUGGGUGAGGCGCGGUCCUUGGUGGCUGUGUCGAGCCUGAGGUUCGCGAGAGGGGAG
rnacentral:rRNA from 1 species